UACAGAGGGUGCGAGCGUUGUCCGGAAUCACUGGGCGUAAAGGGCGCGUAGGUGGCGGCUUAAGCGUGCGGUGAAAGCUCGGGGCUCAACUCCGAGUCGGCCGUGCGAACUGGGCUCACUGGAGCAUAGUAGAGGCAGGUGGAAUUCCGGGUGUAGCGGUGGAAUGCGUAGAGAUCCGGAAGAACACCGGUGGCGAAGGCGGGCCUGCUGGG
rnacentral:rRNA from 1 species